CAUGGAAGCAAGACAUCUGGUGAUUUACCUGGUCAUUUAUUCAUACUGACCUCUAAUCACGUGGGUGACACGUUCACAAGAGUUACUGAGGCUGACAAACAUAUAACCUUACACGUUCUAUGUUUCAGACACUUAGAAAAGGAGAUUUAUUUAGAAAUGAAGCAUCGAAUACAGAGAUGGAGAAAUGGAUUAUUUCUGCUCAUGUUUAUGGCCGUUUUGUUGUGGUACUAUGAGUAUUCUCAAAUACAGAAAACAAGGACAAAAAUGAAAGUGAAAGAGACAAGACAGAAGUGGAAUAAGAUCACAGAAAAGGAUCAAGUAUCGGGAAAUUUCGAGGGACGCUCCAACGUUACUCCGGGGUCAAAAGUAUAUUACAGUGUUAUCAUGCGAGUGCUAAGAACCUAAUCAAUGGUGUUCACCUCUCACCUGCUCUCACCAGCUCUCACCUGUACUGUUAAUUAGCUCCGCAGCUCACUAACGUAAUAUACCUGGCCUGAGACAAAGAUGGGUAUCAGAUUUUAUUGUUGACCUACUUACGGUCGGGCUCCACUUUCCUUGGAGAUAUUGUUCAACAGGUGCCCAGAGCACUUUACUCGUACGAACCCGCCAGGCAUUACAUGGCCAGACGACAGUCGUACAUAUCGCUGGAACGGGGCACGUGCGACUUCGCCAACGAUAGCUGCAGUCAUACGUCCAGUCAGGAAUACAACACCAUAAUGGAAAACAUCCAAAACUUUUACAAAUGUGAUUUACAUCAUCUACAUCCGUUCUUAAGGAGGGGUAUGUCCACAACUUCGGGACGACAGUGUCAUCAUGAGGCCGAACGGAAAAGGUGUAUUUCUGAAAUGCUUCCUUAUUGUCAGUCUGGGACCAGGAUCGUAAAAACUAUCCGGUUGUCCAUGGACGUAGUGGAUGUAUUGAUGGAAAAGUUUCCGAAUCUUAAGGUGAUACACUUACUGAGAGAUCCACGAGGUAUGAUAGUAUCCAGGAUGAGAACAAUUAUUCAGCUUCAUCUACACCAGGGUGACAUGUCAACAUCGGCGCGUGCUGUGUGCGAUAGGUAUAACCGAGAUAUAAGAAUAGGACAAUCUUUGGACGUCAAAUACCCCAAUAGAAUAAAAACUGUGCUGUAUGAACAGAUAGUGGAGAAACCACUGGAAACCUCCCUUCGGAUAUUUAAAUUUUUGGGUCAGCAGCCGAAUAACAAUUUCAAGUCAUGGAUGAGUGAGCACAUUUCAGGAGACAAUAAAUUCGUCCAACCAACUGGAUACUCAUAAUCAGGCUUACAGUACCUAUCGGGCCAAUUCGUCGGCCACUGCGAAUUCUUGGAGAUCACUUCUUCAGUUCAAAGACGUUAUAAAAAUCGACAAUGAGUGUUCCCAGCUGUAUGAAUACACAGGUUACCUGGCUGUUAACAGUUCAACACAACUAACAAAUCUUAAAAUAUCUCUUAGAAAGAACAAUGCCAAUUUCGCAUAGAUAUUCCGUUCCUUUGUUUUACUCUAAUGCUUCAGGCGACAACUUCGAAAAGUUAACCUAGUGUAUUCAUUGGAUAAAUUUAAAUAAAAAGAGUAAUGAUUUGAUAUAAAAUAACAAAUAAUCAAACAGAUCACAGGUCCAUAAAGGCUCCUUAACCUAAGGGAAUCGCAUAACUUAAAAAUGUUCCAUAACAUUUUCUUUGAAUUUCAGGGAUGCUGUUCUUAAAUUCUGCAAAGUUUUCAAAGUUCUAAAGUUUUCCUUGUGAAAAUAUUCAGUUGAGGCCUGUCUGUAAAUAAUAGAACAAUGAUAAACUGCGGUCUAGACAGACAUCUGUAUUCACUCUCUCUGGUACCAGUUUAUUAUUGUUUAUCAACAUUGCAUAGCAUUUUAAAAUAAAAUGAAAACAAAUAUGAUAAUUUU